GUGAAAAUUUUAAACGGCCGCGUUAGCGUGAGCGUGCUAAGGUAGCGUAAUAAUUAGCCUUUUAAUUGGAGGCCAGUGAAUGGCAAGACUAGGAAUAUCUGUACUUUAUGUAUAAAAAAAACUUUUCUUCUAAGUGAAAAGACUUAGAUAAUAAAGGAAGACGAAAAGACCCCGCGGAACUUCACCUUUUCUUUAUACCUCUGCGUACCAAGCUUAAAAGUAUACAAGGUUUGAUUGGGGCAAUCUUGGAACCAAUAAAGCUUCCAAACUUUCAUAUAAAGAUAUAGAAAAUUUAUUAAGGACCAUAAAGUAGUUACCCCGGGGAUAACAGCGUAAUCCAACUUAAGAGUACACAUCGAAAGUUGGGUUUGCGACCUCGAUGUUGGCUUAAGGACAUCCACAUAAGUGCAACC
rnacentral:rRNA from 1 species